GGCUGCUCCUCCAACGGCCGCGCCGAAAAGAGGGCGGCUUCCCGGGCAGGCCCGUUGCUACCUCUUGACUGGAAGUGCGGAGAGGGGUGUUGGGAACUCGGGGCGCGCGUGAACGCCGCCGCCGCCCGGGACAGCCCGGAGAGACCCUCACCUUGGGCACUGGCACCACUUGGCACGAGCAAUGCUGCCGCGGUGGGAACUAUCUUUUUACGUGCUUGCUGCACUCGGCUUCCACUUCUAUUCUUUCUAUGAAGUUUACAAAGCCUCCAGAGAACAUGAAGAGCAAUUGGACCAAGAAUUUGACCUGGCGAUUGGCACUUUAUUUGGAGGAUUAAAGAAGGACCGGACCGACUUUGAGUGGAGCUUCUGGAUGGAGUGGGGGAAGCAGCAGCUGGUGUGGCUUCUCCUUGGCCACCUGGCUGUGUCUCAGAUGGCCAACCAGAUUUCGAGGAAGCACAGACCCUGGAUCCUCACUGCCUACGGGAUGUGGGCCUGCUGGUGUGUGCUGGGUGCCCCGGGGACAGCCACGAUUUUCCUCCACACCAUCAUCGCCUUCUGUGUAGCCCAGUUCCGGUCGCUGUUCCUAUCCUGGCUCUGUUCUCUCCUCCUGCUCUCCACACUGAGGCUGCAAGAUGUGGAGGAGAUGAAGAGAGGGUGGUACAAGACAGAAAACGAGUACUACUUGCUGCAGUUCACGCUGACCGUUCGCUGCCUGUACUACACCAGCUUCAGCCUCGAGUUCUGCUGGCAGCAGCUGCCCGCUGGGCGCACCUUCUACUCCUUGCCCUGGUUGAUGGCCUACGUCUUCUAUUACCCCGUCUUCCACAACGGGCCCAUCCUCCGCUUCCCGGAGUUCAUCGCACAGAUGCAGCAGCAGGAGCCUUGCUCACUGAAGAUCAGCAUUUCCGUCCUUGCCCGGGGGCUGGGCCGCCUCUUCUGCUGCUGGUGCCUGGCCGAGCUGAUGGUGCACCUCAUGUACAUGCACGCCCUCUACGGCAGCGCCCCGCUCCUGCGAACCGUCUCUUGUUGGACCUUAGGCGGACUGGCGCUGGCCCAGGUGCUCUUCUUCUACGUGAAGUACUUGGUGCUCUUUGGCAUCCCCGCCCUGCUCAUGCGCCUGGACGGACUCACGCCGCCGCCCCUCCCGCGCUGCGUCAGCACCAUGUUCAGUUUCACGGGCAUGUGGAGGUAUUUUGACGUUGGACUUCACGAUUUCUUGAUCAGGUACGUGUACAUCCCAGUGGGCGGGUCCCAGCAUGGCCUGCUGGGGACGCUGUUUUCCACUGCGACAACUUUUGCAUUUGUGAGCUACUGGCAUGGUGGGCACGACUACCUCUGGUGCUGGGCAGCGCUCAACUGGCUGGGAGUCACCGUGGAGAAUGGAGUCCAGAGGCUUGUGGAGACCCCGUGCGUCCAGGACAGCCUGGUGCAGUUCCUCUCCCCACGGGCUCGCCGGCGAUUCCACGCAGCCCUCGCCUCUUGUUCCACCUCCAUGCUGAUCCUGUCCAACCUGGUGUUUCUUGGGGGCAGCCAAGUGGGGAAAAUCUACUGGAACAGGAUCUUCAUACAAGGCUGGCCGUGGGUGACCCUCUCCGUCCUGGGAUUCCUGUACUGCUACUCCCACGUGGGCAUUGCCUGGGCCCAGACAUACGCCGAGAACUAAUGUGGUGGGUCCAGGACGGCCUUGCUCUUGGCCUCCAAGGCAAAUGGUGCUUCUCCCUGCCCUCACAGCCCACGACGACUUCCAAGGGGCCAACGCUUGACCUGUUCCUCCUUUGUGGAAGUUACCUCACUCCAAGAUUGGAAGCUUGAACUCUCCUAGAAAACCGAUAACCCGAGUCUCCCACCUUCAGGGACACAGAGACCAUCUCCCCCCACCGUCCUGUUCCUGUCGAGUGAGCUGGGGUCCAGCUGUAGUGUAGAUACUGCCCGUCUGCCCAGGGUGACACUGUGGUCCUUAGUGCCCAGACGCCCUUUGGGUUUUUUCUCCUUUACUAAGAAUUAAAUGUAAUGGGCAUUUUUUGACUGAGGCCCAGAAACCCUGACUGGUGACAGGCCUGUCCUUCAUUGGGCAAUAUUUCUGAAACACUUUGGUGACAUUUAUGUGUCCCCCUUCCCCAUGCCCUGCAGUGUGGUCUCAGCAGGGAGGUGGCAAAGUUGCAGCUGUGUUUUUAAUUACUCGGUAAAGAAGAUAGAGUAUGUUCCGUGACAUUCCAAGGAGUCUGUACCCAAGGAGACCCGUUUUUGAACUUCGUCGUGGCGAUCUGCACUUGGCUGCUUGUUUCCUAGAUCCGCAGAGCAGUCAACAUGUGGAGCUUCUACCCGACAGUGCGUCAUGUCCACCUAAGGAGGCAGAACUUAAAGCCCAGGGGACAGUGCACCACAGACAGGUGCCAUCAGGCGAGUCACAGAGGGGCCAGCUGUCGGGAAGCCAGGAAGCUGGGUGACCCCCACGAGGCCGGCCUUUCUGCGCCUGCUGGGAAGCUCUCCAGGCCUUUCUUCAGGGAAACUAUUUUAUUUUAAAACAAAGCAACAAAAUCUCUCUUUUUCUAAUAGUUGAAACCCAUCUGGCACCCAAAGUAUAUUCCUUGGCUCUGUAUUACUAGUCCUUUUGAUUAAUUACAAAGAUUGUGUUCACAAAGAGUUUUUCCCUUCAUCGAGGCCAUCUAAAGCAAGCAGUGUUUAGUGCUUUACUAGGUGAGAACUUGAAAAUGAACAUCAAUCAUGUGGAAUUUUAAGCACUAUACCCUUACAUUAUUUUUAUUAUGCUUUUCUGCGAUGUAAUGAAAUAACAGGGUGUGGCCUUAUGAGAUCAAGCAGAGUCCC